AAACAAAAAAAAAUAAGCGUGACUUACCUGAAGAUACAGAAACUUCUCUCCCACCUGCCAGCGGGUCCAGAGGAAUUGAAAGCAGGAGCCAGGGAAGAUAUUUGUGAACCCACAUUGUUAGCAACAUGAUUUACAUUAUCUAGAAGGCAGAAGCAACCCUAGUCCAUAAUGGACAAAUGGACACACCACAUGGCAUGUGCACCUCCCACGGAAUCUUGUUUUGUUUUUGAAGGAAGAAAAAGCCAGGGCACCCUGCGGCAAAAGGAAAAUGGAGGAUACUGGGGAGGGACCAGCUGGACCAGGAUGAGACUCUACUUUGAAAGAAAUGCCACAGAGCUUCUAGAUAUCAAUCACAUACAAGAGGCAGCUGAGGGGUGAGUUCAGCUAAACAUCCCAUUAAGGUGCCUGAGGAGGAGGGGAGAAAAGCAUUGGGGGAGAGCAUUGGCACUUCAGUAAUCCCUAGGAAACUUGGACCUCCUGCAUAGCGCUGGGGGUAGGUAAGGCACAGGAAAACUGAUAUGGAAAGCAGUACCACAGAGCCUGAAAAUUCUAAACACGGAACUGACAGGUGCUCUGCCGGUCUACCUCUGGGUUUCUAACCCAGACAAUCAAGAGCAGAGAUUCUGGAGGACUGUCCCUGCACACCUGUUUCUAGUAACAUUCGCAAUCGGCCAAAGUGAGAGACAACAGGACAUCCACGGGUUUCCAGUUUGUGGUUCUGAAUCCUGAGACCCUUUCAGAUGUUGACAGGGGCCAUUGUUACAUGCACGUAAGAGGAGCGAGGUUCACUCAUUCCUACCAGUGAACUUUAGAUUGAGACUCCCAAAUCCAUUAUUACUCAGAGGAAUAAUGUGUGACAAAGUUUGGAUUCUGAACAUCCCUCAAUGGUUUCUACACAGCACAAAGGAGAGGUCCAUAAACCAAGAGGAGGGACAUACAUUUGUGUGUGCAUAAAGGGUCUUUCCUCAGAUUAGGACAGGUGGCUUUAUAAAUGGCAGUCAUGACUGCUAUAGCACAGCAAUGGCUCCACCCCAUCCGCCAUGGCAAAUAGAAAGAGCCCUGGCCUUUAAGGAGCCUGAGACGAUGGGUCCCAGGCCAGCCUCCAGCACUUUGAAAAUGGCCAGGUGUGCACAGCCUUGCUAAGGGACACAAAGCCUUAGCUGGAUCUUGGAGAGUCCGAAAGGAAACAUUUGCAAAAGCCAAGUCACGCACAUCUCAGUUAACAACAAGACAAAUACGUCUCCCCAGCAUGCUGGGAGUUCAUACACCUGCCGGUGUUCAAACCCAUAUCCUCCCAACAUACAGAAUGCUGCCAUGUGUGCUUGAGAACGGAAGAAGCGUGUUUCCACCCCUGAAAUGGCUUGACCCAGAAAAAGAGUGCUCCAAACAGAAUACUAAAGGCAAAAACCAAAAAGUUCUCCGGUAAUCAGUGACUGCUGCGGUAGUAUCAGGACGCCUUUGUUGUCUGUAUUGAUACAGCAGCAAGUGAAUAAGAGGCUUUCAGUGUUGCUGAACUGAUGAGCUGCACAAGAAAGAUGUUUGAAUUGAACAGGCAAUAAAUAAUGUAUUAAAACACGAUCAUUUGUUGCCUCCCGUCUACUGGUUAGUAGCUGUCUGUUUCCUUGUGAAUGAAUCUGUUUCUUAGACUAUGGAUUUCAAUAGCAGCAACACAAAAGCCAGCCUUAUUGAUGACUGGGAAGCUUUGUCAGGCUGGGUAAUGCCAGCUGGAGUCCUACAGGAAAGCCAUUAUCUUUCCCAGUCUGGGAGGACAGGCCUCAAAGAGACACUUCAAAGGUGAUUCGAGAACUAGAAAGUGUCAGUCUUGCAAACAAGAUGAUGGGUGCCCAAUUACACCCAGCCCAAGCGAGCGUGGAGAAUGAACAAAUCCUUCCUGUAAACACAGCAGUAAACCUGGUGGGGGAGACCCUAUAAUUCCAGCACUAAGGAGAUGGAAUCUCGAGAAUCAGAAGUUCAAGGACGUCUUCUGCCACACAGCAAGGUAGAGGCCAGCCUGGGGUGUAAGAUCCAAUCCCAAACUGAAAACAAGAAACUCAUCAAGGAGAAGGAAGCCCUGCCCUUCACGAGGGAGACGGUGCCGUGGCAGCAGGGUCCUUUCUCUGCUCCUCUGCUCUGGCUCAGUCUGGUCUCAGCAGGAGCUGCACUCUGGGGACCAUCAGACCUCACAGCUUGGCUUCAGGCUAGGCUGAGACCUCUCAGUUAUGACCUCUCUCUAGCCAUGAGGCAACCAGACCGGUGUGUAAUUCAGACGUAAGAAACAAAAAAAGAGGCUGUUUUGGGAUGCAAACCCAGGACUUUAUAUAUUCACUGGCCACCAAGGAAAGUUUGUGUACUUCCAAUAAUUCAAAGGGAAGUACUUUAAGAUGUUCAAAGUCCAGAUUCCCUUUACUUUCCAUCUCUCUGCCAGCAUCUGUCCUCUGACAUGGAUGGCACGCUUGGCCGUUUCUGGAACAUUCUUUGAACCACCUGGCAUGCCCCUUUCUUAAGACAUUCUCCCUCUUUACUUUCCGCUUGUCACAGAUUCUGGGGAGCCUUCCCUCUGGUCUUCACUUGAAGGGGUGGUUGGCCAGGUGCGAGCCUUGACCAAUACACAAAGGUUAUCUGGAGGUAGAGCCUAUUUUCCCCAGUGGCUCUGGUCCCUCUGUUCCCCUUGACUUAGAAGAAGAAACAGGCGGGCUCAGCCUUGGCUCCAUCUCUGGCAUCUUUGGCACUAGCCUCUCUCUGCUCCUUUUGGUGGCUCUAAGAGCUGUUACUUUUCUAAUGGCAUUCCUCAUUGGGAACAAAGAGAUAAUGCAUAGAAAACAACCCUCUGAACUUGUAAACUAACUUCAGCUUUAUAAAUAUUUACAUGGUUUGCAUUUUUUUUCUAGCACAUUUUGCCCCUUGAAGGUCCUUGUGAAAGGAUGUAGUAAAACAAAAAAUUUCCAAGUUUUAUAUAUGGGAAAACAGGAACCUAUAAAUGCUGAGCGAUGAAAGAAAGGAAACAGAAACGGAACUGUGAGAGGAUCUCCAUCUUUAUAACAACUUGCUUUUUCAUUAGCUUGCAGGGUCUCUUUAACAGCCUUUCUGUUUUUAUUCUCAGACAAAUAACAAUUUUAAUAACAGAUUCAACAGGCUCUUGGUGAGUUCCUACUUUGUAUCAAAAAGAGAAAAAGAGAUUCCAAGGCCCAGCCUGGCUCCAGGGGCCCUUGGUUUAUUAGUUCCUGCCUUAGAAAUACAGCCACAAUAACAGUCUGCAGGGGGGGAGGAGUACAUGAUGGACAUAUCUCAGCAUACAUACGAGUGCCUUUCCCUGCAUCCCAGCUGUUCUGUGCAGCAUCUGGACAAUGCUGAGCAUGAUGGUCAGCUGUCCUUUGAUUCAGUUUCCUCAUCAGUUAAACAAUAUGGUGAACUAGAUGGUGAUGCAUACCUGUAAUCUCAGCUACACGACAGACUAGGAAGGUCUCAAGUUCAAGUCCAGCCUGGGAAACUUAGCAAUAUCUAGUUUCAAAAAAAAUAUGUAUAGAGAGCUGAGAUCCAGCUCGGAGUUAGAAUGCUUGACUAGCAUGCACAAGACUCUAGGUUCCAUCCUUUAUACAAAAUAAGAAAAAACUUCCCAAUAACUCCUUCUUGGGGAUGCUCUGGGAACUUCAUAUUUUUAAGAUGCUAAAAAUACUUGCAUCCAUAAACUCUCAAUACAUAUAAUGGAAUUUAUCCAACAACAUUUGGUAAGUGACUUGAGUGUUGAAGGUAUCGGUCAUAUACAGCAGAGACCAGAGCACAGGACGUCUUAAUCAGUGUUCAGUUGCUAUAGCGAAGACCCGACAUGAUCAGCCAUUUAGGAGAGCAGAUCUAGCCAAGCUCAUGGCUUUGGAAGUUUCCAGCCACAGAACACUGGUCCUGUUACUUUGAGCUUCUAGCAGUACAUCAUGAGUGGAGCAAACAACUCUCCUUGGGCCUAGGAAUUGAAAGAACAAGAGGAAGGGUCUGAGGCCCCAUGAUCCCCUUCAAGGACAUUCCUCCAAUGACCUCAAACCUCUCAUCAGGGCUCCCCUUCCAGUGUUUCCACCCCUGCCCAGCAGCGGCAGCCUGAGGGCUAAGCCUUCAACCCUUUGGCUUUUGGAGGAAUGUUAAGAUCCAGUCAAAGUGUGGUGCUUAUAAUUACAUGAUGGGCAGGCAAGAAACAAACAAAUCUAAAGAUUUUUGAAUAAUUAGAAUAACUUUUCGUAAAAACUGCAAUUGUCUAACUUACUGCAUUUCUAUCUUGUUGCAUUGCUGAUAUGAGCAUUUACUAGGUCACUGAUUUUUAGACUUGAAUAUGAUCUAUCUUUUGAAGAUUCCCCAUUUGGACACCCAUUUCUCUAUGCCAGUUGCUCCCUAGCGCACAACUGCCCUGAAGACAAUAAUUCCAUAUUAGCCUGAAGUACAACAUACCUGGGCUUUAGAUGUCAGAUGUCAUAAACCCAGAGGCAGCUUUUGUUAGGCCGCAUUCGCACCAAUGUUUGCUGAGGUCAGGUAGGAAACAUGAGGAGGGGAGACGGCUACCAGGUGGGCCCAUGGCUAAGUUACAUCCCCAAUCCUUUCUUGUGCGUUUUAAUUUGAGACAGUGUUUCCUUAAGUUGCCUUAAACUCACUGUCUCCCUGCUUCAGUGUCCGGAUAGCUGGGAUUAAGGGCAUAUUCUACCACACCUGGCUCUGAUUUAUUUUUAAUCAGUACCUGAAAAUUUGCCUUUUAAAAUGACACUGUUGACUUGAGCCAAGUGUUAAAAUGAGGCUACUGUGCCCAGCCAAGCUCAGUUUGAGAACUGGCUGUCAGCAGAAGCCCUGCUUUCUCCCACCCGUGGGGUGUCUGUCCCCUUUGUCCUGCACGGCCAUGCCUCGAGAAAGUGCUGCUUUCUCUCCCGUCUGCUGCCUCUCGCCUCAACAGUAUCUCUGGAAGUCUGUGUUGCUCCCAGAGUUUCUGUGCUGAGCCAUUGCAGCACAGGACAGAUGGGAGAGUUUGGGUGCCUGUCUUCUCCGUGCCCCUGAUGCCUCAGAAUCUAUGUGAGGGUGGGGAUGUGAACCUAUUCUUUGUGCCUGUAACUAGGGAUACACUAGGCUUAAACCAAGCAUUAUGAGUUUAAGCCAGCCUGGGCAAUGUAGUAAAACCCCAUUUCUCAAUAAAUAAACAAACAAACAAACAAAUAACUGGGGUAUAACUCAGUGAUGGAUUGCUUGCCUAGCAUUUGCAAAACUCCAGACUCAGACCCCAGUUUAAAAAAAUAUAUAUCCUGUUCUCUCAACUUUCAUAAUCACUGUUGCCUUUGACUCUUGUACUUCCCAUCUUUUUGGUUGUAUUUGUUUUCGUUGCAUAUUAAUAUGUCCCUGAGCAGGACGCUUAAAUCCCAGAGGGAGAAAAUGUGGGUAGUGGAAGGAACAUACGGCCAUAUUCAGAGUCUGCCAAGCAUGAUACAGAUGAAACGAGAACCCCAUGGCCCCCUCUGCUCACCCCAGACAUCCAGGCUCUUUGUUUUCCAAAGAUUACAGGAUCAGAAUAACUGGUCACCCUGUUCCAGAAUAUAACCAGCCGGGCGGCUGAGUUGGGCUCAGUUCUGCACUGAUGGUGUGUGAGAGGCAGAGGAUUCGGGGCCAGGCUUUGAGAGCCAGCAAGCGAGCGAGUGAGCGAGCAGGCCUUUAUUCCUGUGUUCUCAGAGCCAAAGCUGUCUUAGCUUUGAGUCAUAACAAGCUUUUCAGCGCUUUGGACUCUGGCCUUCACUAAAAGGAUUGGGAGAUGAUGAGCUCAAAUUUUUGGUGCCUGCCCUUAAGCAAACUCACACACUACCACCACCCUCCAGCACAGAGGCUCUGAAAUCUGAACAUGGACCAGAAUCCCGGAGGUGUUUGAAUGCAGGUUUGAAGCCCAUCUCCAGAUCUGGCUUCAGAAUGUCAAGAGCAGGAUGAAGAAAUUACUCACCAGCCAGCUCCUGGUACUGCUCAUGCUGCUGAUCUUGGGGACACACUUUGAGACUUGUCUAAAAGUCAGAAGAUGACUGCUCUAAAGUGCCUGUUGCUUUUAAUGGUCUUUAAAGACCCCAGUGGGCAUCUAUCUGGAAAAACCCUACUUUUCCAGCUCUGUGACCACGGGCAAUACACCUUUCUUCUCGGAACCUGUUUUGCAACUGAAAACAAUGACCCCUGCCUAACUUCUCUCAAAAGUGAUCAUGGUUUGGAUGUAAAAAUAUUCCCCACAGCUCA